ensembl:lncRNA
UUUAUAAGUAACAAGGGAGCAGACAAAGGUGAUUAGAACACAAUGGCAUGUCCAGUCUGUAAAUCUUUAAACCAUGAAGAUGGUUGUAUAGUUCAGGAAUUGGGCUUCUUUUUAUUAUGGGCGGUCCUAUCACUCAGAUGCCCACUUCUCACUGGACCUGUUGGCUGGCUGGCAUGAUUUGCUGUUGGUGAUGAGGCGGUCAGGGUGACGUUGCAGGGCUAUGGUCGGCUCUCUGUGAGCUCAACGUUUAGAUUGCUCUGUAUGGUUUGUACCCUGAAUAAUCUAGAUAAUUGUAAAAUGUAGGCACGGUUUUGUAUUGAAUGAUUUUAGGUAUUAAGUUGUUGUCGGACGUACAUGGUAGUUUGGUUCUUCGUACGGUUUUGAGUGAUAUAACUUGUACACACUGGGUGCAUAAUAAUGUAAAGGUACACUGAAUAGUAGUAAUGACCAACAGCAACAAACUGAUCUCCUCAAGGUAAGUCUGUUGGCUGUGUUUUAAUGAAGACCAUCGCUGGACUUCAGGAUCUUCCUCCGUUCAGCUCAAGGUGAGGCGCUGGUUCUGUUUUUUCUUUGGUUGGUUCCGGCUGGAAUGUUCGGAUUCCAGUUGGACGGUUUGUGCUUCCCGCCGUGGAAGGUUCUGAGUGCGGUCAUUUGAUUUAGUCCCAAUGGUUAGCAUAGAACGUUCAGGAUUGUAUUUGCGUAACCUCGAGCCGUUUGAUAUUAAAUACAUACUGACACGUACGUCGUACAAUAUGUUCAUUUCCGAUGGUUGCGCCGUACUUUUAACCACGAUGACGUGACGGGACUCUCGCUGCGUACAAAACGGCGUUCUACUUGCGGGCCCAUUUUUUACAUCAGUGAUGGAUGAAAAUCUUUUCAAGGCUGCAUUUCAACCAAACCCAGCACCUGAAUAAGGCUGAGUAUAUUUGAUUUAAUAUCGAUACUGCUGAGUGUUCUUUGUUACUUCAGCUUUUGUAUGUUCUAAUUAUCUGCUGUUAUUAAUUGCCACAGAAGUUAAACCCUACCAAAUGGAAUAACGUUAAACAACGACUUUGGUGCAGAGUUACCAACUGGAUAAUAUCAAAGCUAAAAGAAUGGCCGUCCUUCCCACAUGUUACAGUAGAAGAUACUCUAGAACUGUACAAGGUUAAAAAGGUAACAUGUAGUUUGUCCCAAGGUGUCUGCCUCCUCACCCAGAGCAAGACCUCCACCUCCUCACCCAGAGCAAGACCUCCACCUCCUCAUCCAGAGCCAGACCUCCACCUCCUGUCAAAAGUCCUCCAGAACAGCUGAAAGAUGAGGCUGAGAGGCUGGGGACCGGAGGCUUGUGGUGCCAGGAUGGACUAGAGACUGAGGCUGGAGACCAGGGGCCUGCAGCACCGGACCAGAGGGUGAUUUACUGCUGAGACCAGUGUUUGUUCCAGACCAGGACUCUGGCUGAGGUGAGCUGAUGGAGGAGCCAAGACUCUGGAGGACGACAUCACUCUGCCAACCAGAAUCCUCACCAGGAAUCUGGAGGACUGAUGGACAAGCCGUACAUCUGGAAGGCAAAUCCUGAGGACAACCAGGACUCUACCAUCAAGGAUUCCUCGUAAACACACCUGAGCUGAACCCGCCCUGAUCCUGGCAUCCUGCUGGUCCCGUCUCCUCAGUUCAUCUGCGCCUCAUCCUCCAGAAGACCUGCUGAGCUCAGCAGUCUGAGGCUAAUGUAUCAAUGACCUCCAGUGGGAGUCAUCUUCUUGACCCCACAUGUAACGUGAUUCGACACGCCUUUCCCUCACGUCUUUCACUAACCUCACUACUUCACUACUCUCUACUGCUUCUUCUUCCUUCUCUGUUGUUCGAACCUUUACACUGAAGGCGCGUCUUCCUGCCCUCAGAGGGUUCUGCGUUAGGGUUGAGAGUCAGGGUUUAGAGUCAGGGACAGAGCUGGUCAGGGAGGACUGCUUUUACACAAACCUCUUCACCACCUUUCGGAAUGGUGGUGACAUUUUGAAAAGAUUCAUUUGGGAAAAUGUUUUCCUCUGCUUUCCUUUACAAAAUUGUAUUAAACUUCUGUCAAGUGUUUUUGUUUAUAUAUUAAAAUCCCACAUUGACUUCUACAGUGGUGGGGUGUGUUGCGUCCCCAGGUGAUUUACUGCUGAGACCAGUGUUUGUUCCAGACGGGACUCUGGCUGAGGUGAGCUGAUGGAGGAGCCAAGACUCUGGAGGACGACAUCACUCUACCAACCAGGAUCCUUGAAUCUGGAGGACUGAUGGAGAAGCCGUACAUCUGGAAGGCAAAUCCUGAGGACAACCAGGACUCUACCAUCAAGGAUUCCUCACACACCUGAGCUGAACCUCACCUGAUCCUGUUUGGUCGGGGGUAGACGCACCUGAGCUGAACCCGCCCUGAUCCUGACAUCCUGCUGGUCCCGUCUCCUCAGUUCAUCUGCGCCUCAUCCUCCAGAAGACCUGCUGAGCUCAGCAGUCUGAGGCUGAUUUAUCAAUGACCUCCAGUGGGAGUGAUCUUCUUGACCCCACAUGUAACGUGAUUCGACACGCCUUUCCCUCACGUCUUUCACUAACCUCACUACUUCACUACUCUCUACUGCUUCCUCUUCUUCUUCCUUCUCUGUUGUUCGAACCUUUACACUGAAGGCGCGUCUUCCUGCCCUCAGAGGGUUCUGCGUUAGGGUUGAGAGUCAGGGUUUAGAGUCAGGGACAGAACUGGUCAGGGAGGACUGCUUUUACACAAACCUCUUCACCACCUUCCGGAAUGGUGGUGACAUUUUGAAAAGAUUAAUUUGGGAAAAUGUUUUCCUCUGCUUUCCUUUACAAAAUGGUAUUGAACUUCUGUCAAGUGUUUUUGUUUAUACAUUAAAAUCCCACAUUGACUUCUA